rnacentral:rRNA from 1 species
UACGUAGGUGGCAAGCGUUGUCCGGAUUUAUUGGGUUUAAAGGGUGCGUAGGCGGCCCCGUAAGUCAGUGCUGAAAUACCCCGGCUUAACCGGGGGGGUGGCAUUGAUACUGCAGGGCUUGAGUACAGAUGAGGUAGGCGGAAUUGACGGUGUAGCGGUGAAAUGCAUAGAUAUCGUCAAGAACACCGAUAGCGAAGGCAGCUUACUGGGCUGUAACUGACGCUGAUGCACGAAAGUGUGGGGAUCAAACAGG